CAGUCGAGCGGACAGAGGGAGCUUGCUCCCGGAUGUUAGCGGCGGACGGGUGAGUAACACGUGGGUAACCUGCCUGUAAGACUGGGAUAACUCCGGGAAACCGGAGCUAAUACCGGAUAGUUCCUUGAACCGCAUGGUUCAAGGAUGAAAGACGGUUUCGGCUGUCACUUACAGAUGGACCCGCGGCGCAUUAGCUAGUUGGUGGGGUAAUGGCUCACCAAGGCGACGAUGCGUAGCCGACCUGAGAGGGUGAUCGGCCACACUGGGACUGAGACACGGCCCAGACUCCUACGGGAGGCAGCAGUAGGGAAUCUUCCGCAAUGGACGAAAGUCUGACGGAGCAACGCCGCGUGAGUGAUGAAGGUUUUCGGAUCGUAAAGCUCUGUUGUUAGGGAAGAACAAGUGCGAGAGUAACUGCUCGCACCUUGACGGUACCUAACCAGAAAGCCACGGCUAACUACGUGCCAGCAGCCGCGGUAAUACGUAGGUGGCAAGCGUUGUCCGGAAUUAUUGGGCGUAAAGGGCUCGCAGGCGGUUUCUUAAGUCUGAUGUGAAAGCCCCCGGCUCAACCGGGGGAGGGUCAUUGGAACUGGGAAACUUGAGUGCAAAAGAGAGUGGAAUUCCACGUGU
rnacentral:rRNA from 1 species